GUUGCAUGCUGAGUAGGGCAGGGGUGACUUUGGAAAGCACCAGAAAGCAUAAGGCCACCUCAUCCUAGGGGAAUGGAACAGAUUUUUCCAUGGAAGGCAUCCUCGCCUCCAGCCGUCAGCUCACUGUGGAGAGAGGGAAAUUAAACAGCCAGCAGAGCUCUGCUUCCGCCAACAACCUCUAACUCUUUAGAAGAGCAAUCCUUGCAGCCUGUUCGUGGAAGCUUGGCUUAGCCAGGAAGAGCCCAGACCCUCUCCAUGAACUGGAAGGAACAUCAUGCACAAGCCAGAUUAACAAAGACUGAGGACCCGGAGGCAGCUGGGACACAUGGCUUCUUGCUGAGCCCAACAACAUCCUGGCUUGAACCUUCCACUGUUCGAACAUUCUGGGAGAGGUGGAAUUCUCACCAGGACUGUGGUGGCUGAACAGUAUCCUAAGCAGUGGGACAAUACCCUGACCUGUCCUGAUUAGGCCAAUGCCCUAAUAGACAGAGUGUGUGCAUGAGAUAUUGAAGUAUAACCCACCCACAUUCAGGAAGGUUUAGCUGAGGAGAAGAGGAACAACCGUGAACGUCGGUGGCAUCAACCCAUGAGCUGAGGUCCUGGACUGAAUAGAAAACCAAGAGCGAGCUAAGCAUCACCGUGCAACACUUUCCACUCCCUGUCUAGAGACAUGAUGUCGGCAGCCAUCUCGUGCUCCUAUUACCUGCCUUUUUGCCACAGUGGAACAACAGUACCGUCAACUAUAAAUCAGAUUAAACACUCCCUUUUUAAAGUCACUUCUUGUCAAAUACUCGAUAAUAGCAGGAAAAAUGACCUAAUAUAGUAUUUAAAAGCAAAUUACAGGUCUUAAGAUUUCAUGUCCACAUAAUUCACAGUGAAUCUCUAAAAUAAUGCCAACAUUUUCUCACAUAAACACCAUGUCAUUUCUUGCAAUAAAGAGGAAUUUCAAUGUGAUAUCAUUGACAAGAUUGACAGAUGAAGAAAUUAGGUCUCUGGCAUGGGCUUUGAGAGUCGUAGCCUAGGCCCCAGCCCUCAUCCAGACACAUUCAGUACCAUGACUGACAGCCACAAGAUCCUGCUGCUAAGGUCACAAGCCACUCCCCCCACCAUCCCUUCCUUGCCAUGAUCAACUGUCCUUUCUCAAACCUUGAGCCAAAUAAACCUUUCUCCCCUUAA